GACGAACGCUGGCGGCGUGCUUAACACAUGCAAGUCGAACGGAAAGGCCCUGCUUUUGUGGGGUGCUCGAGUGGCGAACGGGUGAGUAACACGUGAGUAACCUGCCCUUGACUUUGGGAUAACUUCAGGAAACUGGGGCUAAUACCGGAUAGGAGCUCCUGCUGCAUGGUGGGGGUUGGAAAGUUUCGGCGGUUGGGGAUGGACUCGCGGCUUAUCAGCUUGUUGGUGGGGUAGUGGCUUACCAAGGCUUUGACGGGUAGCCGGCCUGAGAGGGUGACCGGCCACAUUGGGACUGAGAUACGGCCCAGACUCCUACGGGAGGCAGCAGUGGGGAAUAAUGCACAAUGGGCGGAAGCCUGAUGCAGCAACGCCGCGUGCGGGAUGACGGCCUUCGGGUUGUAAACCGCGUGCGCCUGUGACGAAGCGGGAGUGACGGUAAUGGGUAAAGAAGCACCGGCUAACUACGUG
rnacentral:rRNA from 1 species